rnacentral:lncRNA from 1 species
ACUGCUGCAAUAGGGCCGAUGGUUGUUGGAUGAACAAGGGUGAUGACUGUAAGAUGCUUGCUGCGAUUGCCUGUUGGAGCCCAUAGGGUUGUAGCAUUGGGUUUGCGCACACUGGUGGGAGGUAUGCGGGAUGAGGGGCAGCUAUAGAAAUUUGUGAGCAGUGCGGUUGCGGGAUAUAGGUCGCGGUAGCAGCACUUGCAAAAAGAGCAAGGAGCAUAAUGAGGGAAAAUAUCUUGGCCGCCAUUGUUGCUAUGUUGCUAGUGUAUUCCACUUUCUAUGUUGCUAGUUGGUCUCAAUAAUAUGGGUGAUGGAUUACCUACUGAUCUGGGGGGUAUUUAUACUCAUGUUAAGCCUUGUGGUUGUGCAAGAUUUAUUUUGGCUUUUACCAAAAAACAUAAUAGUAAGAUAAGCUAGAGAUGACGUGGUAUCUAGUUGGUUUUGACAUUUAGUUGCCACUUUGUUGGGUUAUACUUUAUACAUCUGCAAUACAAUCUCCACAAAAUACACUAAAUAAGUGGUUUUGUCCUCUUGGUAUUUUCCAAAUACUUGGGUGACAAUGGCUCGAUCCAUUCACCUUUACACAUGUGUAGCCUUAGCCACAUAUGUGCGGCUUGGUUAGGCUAUUUUGCACCAGAAAAAAAAUUCAUGGUGGUAUUCACCAAUGUUAAUUUGCAUUUGGUUAUUUUGUGCUAUAAUCGGUUCAAGGAGUCACUCGUUCCAUGUCGUACAAUGCGGUUACCACCCAUAACCUACCACAAAUGGAUCAUGUCAACGGCAGUGUUACCUCACAAGAACCAAACAAUCAAAGUAUUUGGGGAACAACAAUAUUCAUUUCCAUUUCACUUUUAUUGACACUCCACUAACCAAACAACACCAUAAUAUCUAUUCCACUUGAUUAUAGUCAAUACCUAAAGAUUGACAAAUACCUAAGUCAUUUUCAACUAACACUAUUACAGAAAGAUCAGCACAACCAGUUUGGAAACCUGCAUCGCCGCCACUUCCAGCACUCGGCAGUGAAUUAUCGACAGUGAUGGCCAUGGUAAUCAUGUCCAGUUAGUAAUUAGUGGUGGUUAUAUGCUAUCACCACCAUUUUGGAGUUCAAUCUAGCUGCGAUAACAUCAAUAUCAUCGCUGAGUUUAUUUUUUGUUCAGGCGUUGAAGAUCCUACAAAUGUUGUCGGGUUUAUAACAAAAUCCAACAAUGAUGGUCAUUUGGUCACCAUCGGUCAGUUGUACACACCGGCAAUGUUGAGAGUUCCUACACCACUGAUCAGUGCUGCAGUCUAUAUAUGACAAGCGUUGAUCACCACAGGUCAGUGGUCACUGUCGGCAGUGAUGAUCAAUUGAUCGACAUCUGUUCAAUUCAUACCCGAUGAUGAUCACUACUACAUCACCAAUGGUAGCUUGAGCUGGUGUCGAUGGCCUUCAUUGAUGGAAUGAUAUUGCAUCUGUGUUUUCACAUUUAUGAAAAAUUCUACUUAAUUAACUCCCUCAACUAUUGUGUGUUAUAUAUCGUGCAGUGUUUGAAGCAACCUUGAUAGGGAGUGCUAUAUGUCUAUUUAUGUUUUAACUUUGUAUGAAUUUUAAGACCCCUAAUUUAUGUUAGGAUAACCAUGUCAUAUAUAAUAUAUAAGUUAACAUUGGUUAUAAUAUGAUAGUGUACAAUAUAAUUAAACUUGUGUCAAAUUAAAUUUGAAAAUACAACAUUGAUAGACUUUUUUCUUCCACUGCAAAGCAAAGGAAUACUUAGAUGUAAAUAUAUCGUAACUAUAAAAAAUGUAUUGUCAGUUAUGAGAUUUGCAUCAAGUAUAGAGGGUCUUGAGUAAUGCUAAUACUAAUAUUAGUAUUAGUUAUAGAUAUAGACAAAUUAAUAAUAAUUAAUUAUAUUAAUUAUUACAUACAGGUUAGAUCCAAAUUUUAUCCUGUUGACGCCAUUUUUGGUAACGAGUCAAGGUAAUCAAAAUGGACCUAUUGGCAGUAAAGAGAUUAUUGCAUUAUGCCGAUAGGAGAGGUGCCGAUGAAGAUCGGCUGAUAGAGAUUGUUGCCGAUGGAAGGUCAUGAUCGGUGGAAAGGUUGUCUUUUAAAUUGAAUUAAAGAGUGUUGAUCAGAGAUGGUGUUUGCCAAUGUCGAUUCAGGGGUCAUUGCCGAUGAAGCCUGUAAUGAUUCAUUGCCGAUGUCGAUGAAGGAGGACAUGAAGACUGCUGCUGAUGAAGCUUGAAAUAACAGGGAACAUGCCGAUGGAGCAGGAGCCGAUGGAGAUUUCAUCGUGAUUGAGGCGGACACGAGAGUAGAUAGAUGUUAUUUUCUAUUUUUUAUAUUUGUUAGGGUAUACCUUACGUAAGAAUCCUGUUUUAUCUUAAAGUCGGAUCCUAGUCGUGUUUGGUUGUAUCUCUUUAGGACAGGGUAUAAAUAUAGACCAGAGGGCAAUGUAAUGAGACAAUCAAUCAAUAUCAAAUCCAAGUUUACUCCUACUUUUGCAUGUACUUACUUUUCGACGACUUCGUCAAUUCACAUAUUUUCUUUUUACGAGUUCUCUUGGUUCGGCGAGUUGCAUUGUUCUAGCGCAAAUCUCGACGAUCCUCGAGUUCCGUGUGAGUACCUCUUGACCGUGACUUUCGGGCGCAUCACUGUUGUCGGGACCAAAGUACUUGAGUUAGACCAAAGUACUUGAGUUAUCAUCCUUAUCGAUUAACAGGUCAAAUCGACUGACACGUCUAGGAUAUCGGAUUGGGUUUUGUGUUUGCAGAUUCACUUUUGCAUCAACAGAUCCCAUUUUCUUCCACAUGUUUUGCAAUCCAUCUUCGGUCUUUUUUCGAUCAUACUUUGGUUGUCAGCAGGACGUGAGUUCGAGUCAUACACGGGAUAAUUAAACCAAUUAUAACUCUAAUCUCUAGUAUAGUUAAACCAACUAGGACUAGUAUAUUCUGAAAAGUGGAAGGACACACAAUAGGAAGAGAAUGUGACAGACGACCAAAAUUUUGUAGAAAACUUUUUCACUCCUUAUAUUAGAUCUCUGUUCCAAACGCUAUGCUAUAAGGUUGGCUCGGGAAUGUAAUCUCCUAGUCUUGUAGGUAGAUUUGUGGCAUGGUGGACACUGCCCCAUAGAGCCCCCACGGCCCACAGAACACAGACACCAGCUUGCCGCAUUCUAUUAAGAUUCCUUGACGCUCGGGAGUAGACAUAGUACAUGAUUAGACCUUAAUAUUCUCACCAAUGUUAAUUUCUGUUUGCUUAAUUUGUGCUAUAGUCAGUUGAAGGAGUCACUCGUUCCUGUGCCAUUCGUUCCUAUGCCAUACAAUGCGAUUACCACCUGCAACCUACCACAAAUGGAUCAUGUCGACGGUAAUGUUAACUCACAAGAACAAAACAAUCAAAGUAUUUCUAAAAAUGGUGAGUUAUUUUACAUCAAAGGUCUGCACUGGAGAGCAAUAAGUGCACCUUAUUGUUGGAAAAAAAGUUCCAUCUACUUGCAUGAAUGCUGUUCUCACAUGUACUAUAAUAGAAUUACAUAUUAGUGGCCAAUGAUCAAUUUAGGCAUUGGUCUUUGUAUGUGCACAAUUCCCAUAAUUCUAUCUACAUGAGCAGUUGUCAUACAAAUUAAGUCAGGUUAAUUUUUCUAAUGCUGAUGAAUUUAAAGUUUUUUAUAUUUCCAUGAUAGAAAUAGUGUUUUUGAUACUUUUUUCUAUAAUUCAAAGCCAAUAUUACAAUUAAGAUUACCAUCAAUCCCACUAUGCACAUUCGGAAUGGCUAGUCCCACAUAACACAGUAUGCAUUUUUGCAAGAUUAUACCAACAUGAUGAUGUUUAUGUGUGGUAAUGCUCAAUUAAUCAAGCAUCACACUAUAAGGUUGAUUUAUAUCUCCUUACUCUCAAUCUUAGUGCAAAAUAAUUAUCGAACACACCAGGAGACAAGUAAGACAUUAGAAUACGGAAGCAUAAUUUAUUAUUUCUGAGAAGCCUCAGACAUGAUAGCCUAAAAACUUCAUUAUUGAACUACAACUAGUAAGAAAUCUAAAAGAGGGCACCACCAAUGAAGGGCUGUUGGCAGGACGUUGCUGGGUUCGCCAGAGCAAGCUGGAUGAAUGGCAGCAACUGUUGUUGCUGAAAGAGGGUGGCGGCAUUAGCCACACCCUGCGGGUAGAAUCGCAGUAGCUGUUGUUGUGGCCAGAAGGUGGCAGGACUCACAGCACCUAGCCGGCUGAAUUGUAGUAGUUGUUGCAGCUGCAAAUAAGCAGCAGGGUUCACUGCAGCCAGUUGGUUGAAUGAGAGCAACUGUUGUAGUUGUAAGAGGGUGGCGGCGUUAGCCACACCCUGCGGGUAGAACGGCAACAGCUGUUGUUGUGGCCAGAAGGCGGCAGGGCUCGCAGCAGCUAGCUGGCUGAAUUGUUGUAGUUGUUGCAGCUGCAAAUAGGCAGCGGGGUUCACUGCAGCCAGUUGGCUGAAUGGAAUAAACUGCUGUUGCUGGGAGUACGCAGCAAGGUUUGCCACCGUUACUUGGUGGAUCGAAGGUAGCACCAGUUGCUGCAGUUGUUGUGCCCUGAUGCUUUGUGCCAACAAAUUCACCAAGGACAACUGCUGCAAUAGGGCCGAUGGUUGUUGGAUGAACAAGGGUGAUGACUGUAAGAUGCUUGCUGCGAUUGCCUGUUGGAGCCCAUAGGGUUGUAGCAUUGGGUUUGCGCACACUGGUGGGAGGUAUGCGGGAUGAGGGGCAGCUAUAGAAAUUUGUGAGCAGUGCGGUUGCGGGAUAUAGGUCGCGGUAGCAGCACUUGCAAAAAGAGCAAGGAGCAUAACGAGGGAAAAUAUCUUGGCCGCCAUUGUUGCUAUGUUGCUAGUGUAUUCCACUUUCUAGGUUGCUAGUUGGUCUCAAUAAUAUGGGUGAUGGAUUACCUACUGAUCUGGGGGGUAUUUAUACUCAUGUUAAGC